AGUGAACGCUGGCGGCGUGCUUAACACAUGCAAGUCGAACGAGAACGGAUUAUAGCUUGCUAUAAUUGUCAGCUAAGUGGCGCACGGGUGAGUAAUAUAUAGAUAACCUGCCCUCUAGAAAGGAAUAACAGUUGGAAACGACUGCUAAUGCCCUAUAUGCCUUUAAUACAUAAGUAUGCAAGGGAAACGCUUUAGUGCUAGAGGAUGGGUCUGUAUGGUAUCAGCUUGUUGGUGAGGUAAUGGCUCACCAAGGCUAUGACGCCUAACUGGUUUGAGAGGAUGAUCAGUCACACUGGAACUGAGACACGGUCCAGACUCCUACGGGAGGCAGCAGUGGGGAAUAUUGCACAAUGGACGAAAGUCUGAUGCAGCAACGCCGCGUGGAGGAUGACACAUUUCGGUGCGUAAACUCCUUUUAUAUGAGAAGAUAAUGACGGUAUUAUAUGAAUAAGC
rnacentral:rRNA from 1 species